AGAGAGAAGGGCGAAGGGGCGCCGAGCUGGCUUCCUAGAGAGGACAGGAAGGGAAGGCGGGCCGCUCCCCCCCCUCUGACGUCCCUUCCGGCCUGGCCUUUGCCCGCCGGGCUCCUCUCGGGGGAAGCCUGCGGAACUCCCUGCCCCGCGACGCUGAGACGUUGAUGUCAUGUCUGGAAGGAGAGGGGCGAAAGGGGGCAUCCCAGAGCCCUUGUCUCUUUUUAUCCAAGAGAAAGUCAUCUAAAGAAGCGCCCAAACAGAAAGGAGGAUCCCGUCCUACGUCUCUUUCCUGGGCAUCUUGCAAUAACCUCCAUUUUAACUUGGCAUAAAAAGAGGAUUUGCUGCACCUUGCACUAGAACUUGGCAGAGGACCAAGGGGCUCCUUCCGAUCUCCUGGAGACUUCCGGAGAGCCCAGAUGGAUGAGCAAGACUCAGCUGGCCCUGAAGCAGGAAGAGGCCAUGCCAUGGAAACGGGGAGCAGUGGGGGAUUCUGGGAAAACUCUGUGAGGAAGAACCCGGGUCAGGAGGACACCCCUUGCUCAGAGGUGCAGAGCCAGCAGCUCAGGCAGUUCUGCUACCAGGAGGCCAAAGGACCCCGAGAA